rnacentral:rRNA from 1 species
GCAAGUCGAACGGUAACAUUUGUUCUUGCACCAGAUGACUAGUGGCGCACGGUUGCGUAACGCGUAUGCAACCUACCUUUUACUAGAGUAUAGCCCAGAGAAAUUUGGAUUAAUCCUCUAUAACAUCUUUUAAUUUCAUGAUUUUAAGAUUAAAGUUUUAACGGUAAAAGAUGGGCAUGCGUCCUAUUAGUUUGUAGGUGAGGUAACGGCUCACCUAGACUACGAUAGGUAGGGGCCCUGAGAGGGGGAGC